rnacentral:rRNA from 1 species
CCUACGGGUGGCAGCAGUGGGGAAUAUUGCACAAUGGGGGAAACCCUGAUGCAGCGACGCCGCGUGCGUGAAGAAGUAUCUCGGUACGUAAAGCUCUAUCAGCAGGGAAGAAAAUGCCGGUACCUGACUAAGACGCCACGGCUAACUACGUGCCAGCAGCCGCGGUACUACGUCGGAGGCAAGCGUUAUCCGGAUUUACCGGGUGUAAAGGGAGCGUAGACGGCAGCACAAGUCUGGAGUGAAAUACCGGGGCUUAACCCCGGAACUGCUUUGGAAACUGUGCGGCUGGAGUGAAGGAGGGGUAAGCGGAAUGCCUAGUGUAGCGGUGAAAUGCGUAGAUAUUAGGAGGAACACCGGUGGCGAAGGCGGCUUACUGGACUGUAACUGACGUUGAGGCUCGAAAGCGUGGGGAGCAAACAGGAUUAGAUACCCCUGUAGUC